rnacentral:rRNA from 1 species
GGGGGGACCAUCCUCCAAGGCUAAAUACUACUGACUGACCGAUAGUGAACCAGUACCGUGAGGGAAAGGCGAAAAGAACCCCUGUGAGGGGAGUGAAAUAGAACCUGAAACCGUGUACGUACAAGCAGUAGGAGCACCUUCGUGGUGUGACUGCGUACCUUUUGUAUAAUGGGUCAGCGACUUAUAUUCAGUGGCAAGGUUAACCAUCUAGGGGAGCCGUAGGGAAACCGAGUCUUAACUGGGCGUUCAGUCUCUGGAUAUAGACCCGAAACCAGGUGAUCUAGCCAUGGGCAGGUUGAAGGUUGAGUAACAUCAACUGGAGGACCGAACCGACUAAUGUUGAAAAAUUAGCGGAUGACUUGUGGCUAGGGGUGAAAGGCCAAUCAAACCUGGAGAUAGCUGGUUCUCCCCGAAAGCUAUUUAGGUAGCGCCUCGGACGAAUACUACUGGGGGUAGAGCACUGUUAAGGCUAGGGGGUCAUCCCGACUUACCAACCCUUUGCAAACUCCGAAUACCAGUAAGUACUAUCCGGGAGACACACGGCGGGUGCUAACGUCCGUCGUGGAGAGGGAAACAACCCAGACCGCCAGCUAAGGUCCCAAAUUACUACUAAGUGGGAAACGAUGUGGGAAGGCUCAGACAGCCAGGAUGUUGGCUUAGAAGCAGCCAUCAUU